GGGUGCAAGCGUUAAUCGGAAUUACUGGGCGUAAAGGGUGCGUAGGCGGUUCGUUAAGUCUGUCGUGAAAUCCCCGGGCUCAACCUGGGAAUGGCGAUGGAUACUGGCGAGCUAGAGUGUGUCAGAGGAUGGUGGAAUUCCCGGUGUAGCGGUGAAAUGCGUAGAGAUCGGGAGGAACAUCAGUGGCGAAGGCGGCCAUCUGGGACAACACUGACGCUGAAGCACGAAAGCGUGGGGAGCAAACAGG
rnacentral:rRNA from 1 species